AUUGAGUAAUUCUAUAACAUUAUAGAAAAUUUUAUGUUGAAACUAGUAACAAGAAAAGACUUUCUCUUAAAUGUAGGUGUAAAUCAGAAAGGACAAGCCACUGAUACUUAACAUCACUGAGCCCAAAGUAGAAACUCAUCGAGAAAACCCUACUUUUAUUUAUGUUAAUUUAACACAAAAACAUUAUAAGAAAGAUUGAAAGAAAAAGAAGGAACUCGGCAAGUAUUAACCUCGCCUGUUUACCAAAAACAUCGCCUCUUGAAUUCUAUAAGAGGUCCAGCCUGCCCAGUGACUUAUUCAACGGCCGCGGUAUCCUAACCGUGCGAAGGUAGCGUAAUCACUUGUUCUUUAAAUGGGGACUCGUAUGAAUGGCAUCACGAAGGUUAUACUGUCUCCUUUUUCUAAUCAGUGAAACUGAUCUUCCCGUGAAGAAGCGGGAAUAUUAAUAUAAGACGAGAAGACCCUAUGGAGCUUAAAAUAACCUAACAUUUGCUUAAACCAUAAGAAAUUUCAGAACCUUAACUUCUACAAGUAAUAUGAUUAUAAGUUUUUGGUUGGGGUGACCGCGGAGAACAACAUAACCUCCAUGUUGAAAGAGCUUAUUCUUAGCUAAGAUUUACUAAUCAAAGCAUCAACACAUUGACAUUCCUUGAUCCAAUAUAAUUGAUCAACGAACCAAGUUACCCUAGGGAUAACAGCGCAAUCUACUUCAAGAGCUCCUAUCGACAAGUAGGUUUACGACCUCGAUGUUGGAUCAGGGUAUCCCAGUGGUGUAGCCGCUACUAAAGGUUCGUUUGU
rnacentral:rRNA from 1 species